UGCAGUCGAACGAUGGUUUUGUCUUCGGAUGGGGCCUAGUGGCGCACGGGUGAGUAACACGUGGGAACCUGCCUUUCGGUUCGGAAUAACGUCUGGAAACGGACGCUAACACCGGAUACGCCCUUUGGGGGAAAGUUUACGCCGAGAGAGGGGCCCGCGUCGGAUUAGGUAGUUGGUGGGGUAAUGGCCUACCAAGCCUGCGAUCCGUAGCUGGUCUGAGAGGAUGAUCAGCCACACUGGGACUGAGACACGGCCCAGACUCCUACGGGAGGCAGCAGUGGGGAAUAUUGGACAAUGGGCGCAAGCCUGAUCCAGCAAUGCCGCGUGAGUGAUGAAGGCCUUAGGGUUGUAAAGCUCUUUCGCACGCGACGAUGAUGACGGUAGCGUGAGAAGAAGCCCCGGCUAACUUCGUGCCAGCAGCCGCG
rnacentral:rRNA from 1 species